GUGAACGGCGGCCGUAACUAUAACGGUCCUAAGGUAGCGAAAUUCCUUGUCGGGUAAGUUCCGACCCGCAUGAAAGGCGUAAUGAUUUGGGCGCUGUCUCAACAAUAGACUCGGUGAAAUUUAAAUUCCAGUGAAGAUGCUGGGUACCCGCGACAGGACGGAAAGACCCCGUGGAGCUUUACUGUAGCUUGAUAUUGAAUGUUUGUGCUGCAUGUGCAGGAUAGGUAGGAGACUUUGAAGUCGGAACGCUAGUUUCGAUUGAGUCACCCUUGAGAUACUACCCCUGUUGUAUGAACGUUCUAACUCUGAUCAGUUAUCCUGAUCGAAGACAGUGUCUGGCAGGCAGUUUGACUGGGGCGGUCGCCUCCUAAAAGAUAACGGAGGCGCUCAAAGGUUUGCUCAGAAUGGUUGGAAAUCAUUCGUAGCGUGUAAAGGCAUAAGCAAGCUUGACUGUGAGACUGACAAGUCGAGCAGGUACGAAAGUAGGACUUAGUGAUCCGGUGGUUCCGUAUGGAAGGGCCAUCGCUCAACGGACAAAAGCUACCCCGGGGAUAACAGGCUCAUCUCCCCCAAGAGUCCACAUCGACGGGGAGGUUUGGCACCUCGAUGUCGGCUCAUCGCAUCCUGGGGCUGUAGUCGGUCCCAAGGGUUGGGCUGUUCGCCCAUUAAAGCGGUACGCGAGCUGGGUUCAGAACGUCGUGAGACAGUUCGGUCCCUAUCCGUCGUGGGCGCAGGAAAUUUGAGAGGAUCUGUCCUUAGUACGAGAGGACCGGGAUGGACAUACCUCUGGUGUACCAGUUGUUCUGCCAAGAGCACCGCUGGGUAGCUACGUAUGGAUUAGAUAAUCGCUGAAAGCAUCUAAGUGAGAAACUAACCUCGAGAUGAGAUUUCCCAUUCGUCAGAAGUAAGACCCCUGAGAGACGAUCAGGUAGAUAGGCUAGAAGUGGAAGUGUAGUGAUGCAUGGAGCGGACUAGUACUAAUAGGUCGAGGACUUAACCAAG
rnacentral:rRNA from 1 species